rfam:Cellulophaga phage phi4:1, complete genome.
AGAAAGGUGUCAGAGUGGCUUAUUGAGCUAGGUUGCUAACUUAGUGGAGUGAAAUACCUUCCGUGGGUUCGAAUCCCAUCCUUUCUU